GACGAACGCUGGCGGCGUGCUUAACACAUGCAAGUCGAGCGGUAAGGCCCUUUCGGGGGUACACGAGCGGCGAACGGGUGAGUAACACGUGGGUGACCUGCCCUCAGCUCUGGGAUAAGCCUGGGAAACUGGGUCUAAUACUGGAUAUGACUCCACGGUGCAUGUCGUGGGGUGGAAAGCCUUGUGCGGCUGAGGAUGGGCCCGCGGCCUAUCAGCUUGUUGGUGGGGUGAC
rnacentral:rRNA from 1 species